GGCUUGUUGGUUUUGGGGUAUGAUUCUCACUUUGGGUGUAAGAGGUCCCAGGUUCAAAUCGUGGACAAGCCC